ACCCGGAGAGCAGAAAUGGCAGACUCAAACCAAUCCCCAAGAUCCAGGCCCAAGCCUCGGGGACCCAGAAGAAGCAAAUCAGACAGUGAGGCCACUUGUAAGCACAGAGACAUGCAGUUGAAGUUUUGUCUAGUUCGGUGGCUACGAGGAGAACCUCCAGGCAGACCACCAUCACGUCUCAUUUUACGAAAGGCCCUGCUAAACGAAAACCCAAGGAAGAGUCUGAAAAGAGAGACUCAGAUGAAUCUGUUGUAGAGGAGAGAGACCAGGAUAAGAAACGCAGAGCUGCAGGCAGAGUUGCAAUGCAUGAUGCUGAAGUUUUUGUGGAGAAACUAGAAGGAGCAACGCCGGGAUCCCAGCUGUUUCAGGAAGAACAAGGUGAACAGAAAGAUGACAGGAGCCUUUGUCGUCAAACCAGAGAGCUAGCAUUGAGGCGGAGGUCAAGGGAGGAACCAGACAGAGAAGCAAGACCAGGAACUCACUCAGACAUGGACGAUGAUAAAGAAAAGGAUAAAAGAAGUUCCAGGUCCAGAAGCCAACGCAGAGAUCUAGCCGCCAAACGGAGACCCAAAGAAGCAGAACCAGAGCAGAUAGCUCCAGAGACUCCUGAGGACAGAGACGAGGAUGAAAGGGAGAAGAGACGAAAAACGACACGUAAAAAACUGGAACCACUCGCCAUUCCUGUACAGAGCAGAGUGGAGAGAAAAGCCGCUCAAAACAAAAGUGUGAUUCCAAAGGUCAACCCCCUGCCCCCAAAGUGCCCUGAGUGUGGCCAGUACCUAGAUGACCCUGAUCUGAAGUACCAGCAGCACUCUGCGGAUGCUGUGGAUGAACCCCAGAUGUUGGCCAGUGAUAAACUGUCCAUCUAUGACUCUGACUCAUCUUGGUUUGAUGCCUAUGAUAACUCUCCCAUGCAUAAGUUCACUUUCUUCAGUGUGCAUUGCAGUCAAGGUCACCUGUGCCCCUUCAACACUGGUCUUAUUGAGAAGAACUUUGAACUCUACUUUUCUGGUUGUGCCAAAGCAAUUCAUGAUGAAAAUCCAUCUCCAGAAAGUGGAAUUAAUGGCAAAAACCUUGGGCCAAUCAAUCAGUGGUGGAUCAGCGGCUUUGACGGCGGCGAGAAGGUGCUCAUUGGUUUCUCCACCACAUUCGCUGAAUAUGUUUUGAUGGAUCCCAGUGAGGAGUAUGUGCCAAUAUUGGGGCUGAUGCAGGAGAAAAUUUACAACAGCAAGAUUGUUGUGGUUGAGUUCCUACAUAGCAAUCCUGAUGCCGUCGAUGAAGACCUGAUCAAUAAGAUCGAGACCACUGUUCCUCCUUCUACAAUACACCGCUUCUACUUCCUCUAGGCCUACAAUUCAAAGACCAGAAGCUUUGAAGACCCCCCAAACCACGCCCACAGCCCUGGGAACAAAGGGAAAGGGAAGGGAAAGCAUCAGGUACCAGAGCCCAAAGAGCCUGAGGCAGCCAUCAAACUGCCCAAGCUUCGGACCCUGGAUGUGUUUUCUGGCUGUGGAGGGUUAUCGGAAGGAUUCCACCAAGCAGGCGUCUCAGAGACACUGUGGGCCAUCGAGAUGUGGGAACCCGCAGCCCAGGCAUUUUGGCUGAACAACCCUGGUACCACAGUGUUCACAGAGGACUGCAACGUGCUUCUUAAGCUGGUCAUGGCUGGUGAGGUGACCAACUCUCUGCGCCAAAGACUGCCACAGAAGGGCGAUGUGGAGAUGCUGUGUGGUGGGCCACUCUGCCAGGGCUUCAGUGGCAUGAACCGCUUCAACUCCCCUACUUACUCCAAGUUCAAAAACUGCCUAGUGGUCUCCUUCCUCAGCUACUGUAACUACUACCGGCCUUGAUUCUUCCUUCUGGAGAAUGUCAGGAACUUCGUGUCCUUCAGGCGCUGAAGCUGACAUUGCGAUGCCUGGUCCGCAUGGGCUACCAGUGCACCUUUGGUGUGCUCCAGGCUAGACAGUAUGGUGUGGCCCAGACACGAAGGAGGGCCAUCAUCUUGGCUGCAGCCCCAGGAGAGAAGCUGCCUCUGUUCCCAGAACCAUUGCAUGUGUUUGCACCCUGUGCCUGCCAGCUGAGCGUUGUGGUGGAUGACAAGAAGUUUGUUAGCAACGUUACGAGGCUGAGCUCCUGUCCCUUCCGAACCAUCACGGUGCGAGAUACCAAGUCUGACCUCCCUGAGAUCCAGAACGGAGCCUCAGCGCCCGAGAUCUUCUACAAGGGAGAGCCACAAUCCUGGUUCCAGAGGCAGCUGCCAGGAUCACACUACCAGCCCAUCCUCAGGGAUCAUAUCUGCAAGGACAUGAACCUACUGGUGGCUGCCCGCAUGCGUCACAUCCCACUGUUCCCAGGAUUGGAUUGGCGUGACCUGCCCAACAUCCAAGUUCGGCUGAGAGACGGCUUCACAGCGCAUAUGGAGUCUGUUCCUGCGCCGAAGGCAAACUCUGCGAGCCCAGUGUCAGACAAUUCAGCACCCUCAUCCCCUGGUGCCUGCCACACACCGGAACCGGCACAACCACUAGGCGGUCUCUAUGGGCGUCUGGAAUGGGACGGCUUCUUCAGCACCAUUGUCACCAACCCUGAGCCCAUGGGCAAGCAGGGUCGAGAGCUCCACCCAGAGCAGCACCAGGUUGUGAACGUGGGGGAAUGAGCCUGCUCCCAGAGCUUUCCAGACACCUACCGGUUCUUCGGUAACAUCCUGGACAGAUACCGGCAGGUGGGUGAUGAUGUGCCACUACCACUGGCCAAAGCCAUUGGCCUGGAGAGUAAGCUCUGCCUGCUGGCCAGCACUCAGGAGAGUGCCUCAGCUGCAGUUAAAGUAAAGGAGGAGGCUGCUACCGAGGACAGUGCUCUCACCCAGAGCCCCACAUGCACUGACGUUUUUAAGCCUUUGAGCCCCAUCAUUUGA